GCCCCAAUAGCUCAGUUGGAUAGAGCGCUUGCCUCCGAAGCAAGAGGCCGCAGGUUCGAGUCCUGCUUGGGGCA
rnacentral:tRNA from 1 species